rnacentral:rRNA from 1 species
AUACAGAGGGUGCAAGCGUUAAUCGGAAUUACUGGGCGUAAAGCGCGCGUAGGCGGUUUGUUAGGUUGGAUGUGAAAGCCCUGGGCUCAACCUGGGAACUGCAUUCAAAACUGGCGAACUAGAGUAUGGUAGAGGGUAGUGGAAUUCCUGGUGUAGCGGUGAAAUGCGUAGAUAUCAGGAGGAACAUCAGUGGCGAAGGCGACUACCUGGACCAAUACUGACGCUGAGGUGCGAAAGCGUGGGGAGCAAACAGGAUUAGAAACCCCAGUAGUCC